rnacentral:lncRNA from 1 species
GACAGUGUAAUGGGUUAGAGAGAGAGAGAGGUUACUUACUAGACAGUGUAAAGGGUUAGAGAGAGAGAGAUUACUUACUAGACAGUGUAAUGGGUUAGAGAGAGAGCGGUUACUUACUAGACAGUGUAAUGGGUUAGAGAGAGAGAGAGGUUACUUACUAGACAGUGUAAUGGGUUAGAGAGAGAUGUUACUUACUAGACAGUGUAAUGGGUUAGAGAGAGAGGUUACUGACUAGACAGUGUAAUGGGUUAGAGAGAGAGGUUACUUACUAGACAGUGUAAUGGGUUAGAGAGAGAGAGGUUACUUACUAGACAGUGUAAUGGGUUAGAGAGAGAGAGGUUACUUACUAGACUAGACAGUGUAAUGGGUUAGAGAGAGAGAGGUUACUUACUAGACAGUUUAAUGGGUUAGAGAGAG